ACCAUCAUCAUCAUCAUCAAAAGGAGGCCGCAGCGGGAGCCAGAGUGAUAUCGUGAUCUCCCUCUCCUCCAUCGGGGAUCGGCGUGGGGAAAUCGAUGGUAGCUGGCUGCGUAGAUCAUCCCGAUCGAUCGCCUGCCUGAUUAGAACAGAGGAAGAAGAAGGCGAGAGGGGAUGGGUUGGUGGUGGGGUGGACAGCAGAAGAACAAAGAACCGUGCAAGAAGGAGGCCUGCGACAUCCAGGCCUGCCUCUCCAAGAACAACUUCAACCCCGAGAGGUGCAUGAAGGUCAUUGGACUGUUGCAACUAUGCUGUGAAAAGUGCAACUAUGACUCAACACAUUGUGCUCCACUUGCUGGACUUCUGAAAACAAAUACCAAGUGACACACUGCAAAUAUUGAACCAUGAAGCUUCAUGAUUACCCAACAGUAAUUUCUCUGACAAUUGGCCUGACUUUCUAUGAUGGGAGAAAGUCUAUGAGUUUUGUGGAUCAUUUAUUUUCGUUUUCUCUUCAACAGACAAUUUAUGUUGAAAAAUAUUAUUUCUGCAGGAGCUGAAAGAAUGGAGAAAUGGCAGAUUUAGAUGACUUUCUAUGAUGGAGAAAUGGACUACUGACGAUGUAAAACAACUUUUUCUUUUUUGCACGGCAUGUUCACGUCUGCUUUUUUCCCCGGUUUUUUUAGAACUUUAGCUGUAGUAUUUUAAGUUGAAAAUUGUGAGAAAAAAAAAUUGAAAUUGCAGAAGAAUAGCAAGAUAAUUUCUGUUUUCAUUUUCCUUUUUUUUCUGGAAAAUAAUGGAGGGUGAACCAUCACUUGGUAAAGAUUUACCUUAGUGAAAUAAUUGGCAGCCACAUUUGGAUUCUGGUCCAAAGCCUGUAAAAGAUUUUAAAUUGCAUGAA